CCUACGGGUGGCUGCAGUGGGGAAUAUUGGACAAUGGGCGAAAGCCUGAUCCAGCCAUGCCGCGUGUGUGAAGAAGGCCUUCGGGUUGUAAAGCACUUUCAGUGGGGAAGAAAGCCUUGGGGCUAAUACCCUCGAGGAAGGACAUCACCCACAGAAGAAGCACCGGCUAACUCCGUGCCAGCAGCCGCGGUAAUACGGAGGGUGCGAGCGUUAAUCGGAAUUACUGGGCGUAAAGCGCGCGUAGGCGGUCUGAUAAGCCGGUUGUGAAAGCCCCGGGCUCAACCUGGGAACGGCAUCCGGAACUGUCAGGCUAGAGUGCAGGAGAGGAAGGUAGAAUUCCCGGUGUAGCGGUGAAAUGCGUAGAGAUCGGGAGGAAUACCAGUGGAGAAGGCGGCCUUCUGGACUGACACUGACGCUGAGGUGCGAAAGCGUGGGUAGCAAACAGGAUUAGAUACCCGUGUAGUC
rnacentral:rRNA from 1 species